rnacentral:rRNA from 1 species
GAGGCUUUGAAGCGUGGACGCCAGUCUGCGUGGAGCCAACCUUGAAAUACCACCCUUUAAUGUUUGAUGUUCUAACGUUGGCCCCUGACCGGGGUUGCGGACAGUGUCUGGUGGGUAGUUUGACUGGGGCGGUCUCCUCCCAAAGCGUAACGGAGGAGCACGAAGGUUAGCUAAUCCUGGUCGGACAUCAGGAGGUUAGUGCAAUGGCAUAAGCUAGCUUGACUGCGAGCGUGACGGCGCGAGCAGGUGCGAAAGCAGGUCAUAGUGAUCCGGUGGUUCUGAAUGGAAGGGCCAUCGCUCAACGGAUAAAAGGUACUCCGGGGAUAACAGGCUGAUACCGCCCAAGAGUUCAUAUCGACGGCGGUGUUUGGCACCUCGAUGUCGGCUCAUCACAUCCUGGGGCUGAAGUAGGUCCCAAGGGUAUGGCUGUUCGCCAUUUAAAGUGGUACGCGAGCUGGGUUUAGAACGUCGUGAGACAGUUCGGUCCCUAUCUGCCGUGGGCGCUGGAGAAUUGAGGGGGGCUGCUCCUAGUACGAGAGGACCGGAGUGGACGCAUCACUGGUGUUCGGGUUGUCAUGCCAAUGGCACUGCCCGGUAGCUAAAUGCGGAAGAGAUAAGUGCUGAAAGCAUCUAAGCACGAAACUUGCCCCGAGAUGAGUUCUCCCUGAGACUAUAAGUCUCCUGAAGGAACGUUGAAGACGACGACGUUGAUAGGCCGGGUGUGUAAGCGCAGCGAUGCGUUGAGCUAACCGGUACUAAUGAACCGUGAGGCUUAACCUUACAACGCCGAAG